GGGUUGUGAGGUUAAGCGACUAAGCGUACACGGUGGAUGCCCUGGCAGUCAGAGGCGAUGAAGGACGUGCUAAUCUGCGAUAAGCGUCGGUAAGGUGAUAUGAACCGUUAUAACCGGCGAUUUCCGAAUGGGGAAACCCAGUGUGUUUCGACACACUAUCAUUAACUGAAUCCAUAGGUUAAUGAGGCGAACCGGGGGAACUGAAACAUCUAAGUACCCCGAGGAAAAGAAAUCAACCGAGAUUCCCCCAGUAGCGGCGAGCGAACGGGGAGCAGCCCAGAGCCUGAAUCAGUGUGUGUGUUAGUGGAAGCGUCUGGAAAGGCGCGCGAUACAGGGUGACAGCCCCGUACACAAAAAUGCACAUGCUGUGAGCUCGAUGAGUAGGGCGGGACACGUGGUAUCCUGUCUGAAUAUGGGGGGACCAUCCUCCAAGGCUAAAUACUCCUGACUGACCGAUAGUGAACCAGUACCGUGAGGGAAAGGCGAAAAGAACCCCGGCGAGGGGAGUGAAAAAGAACCUGAAACCGUGUACGUACAAGCAGUGGGAGCACGCUUAGGCGUGUGACUGCGUACCUUUUGUAUAAUGGGUCAGCGACUUAUAUUCUGUAGCAAGGUUAACCGAAUAGGGGAGCCGAAGGGAAACCGAGUCUUAACUGGGCGUUAAGUUGCAGGGUAUAGACCCGAAACCCGGUGAUCUAGCCAUGGGCAGGUUGAAGGUUGGGUAACACUAACUGGAGGACCGAACCGACUAAUGUUGAAAAAUUAGCGGAUGACUUGUGGCUGGGGGUGAAAGGCCAAUCAAACCGGGAGAUAGCUGGUUCUCCCCGAAAGCUAUUUAGGUAGCGCCUCGUGAAUUCAUCUCCGGGGGUAGAGCACUGUUUCGGCAAGGGGGUCAUCCCGACUUACCAACCCGAUGCAAACUGCGAAUACCGGAGAAUGUUAUCACGGGAGACACACGGCGGGUGCUAACGUCCGUCGUGAAGAGGGAAACAACCCAGACCGCCAGCUAAGGUCCCAAAGUCAUGGUUAAGUGGGAAACGAUGUGGGAAGGCCCAGACAGCCAGGAUGUUGGCUUAGAAGCAGCCAUCAUUUAAAGAAAGCGUAAUAGCUCACUGGUCGAGUCGGCCUGCGCGGAAGAUGUAACGGGGCUAAACCAUGCACCGAAGCUGCGGCAGCGACGCUGAUGCGUUGUUGGGUAGGGGAGCGUUCUGUAAGCCUGCGAAGGUGUGCUGUGAGGCAUGCUGGAGGUAUCAGAAGUGCGAAUGCUGACAUAAGUAACGAUAAAGCGGGUGAAAAGCCCGCUCGCCGGAAGACCAAGGGUUCCUGUCCAACGUUAAUCGGGGCAGGGUGAGUCGACCCCUAAGGCGAGGCCGAAAGGCGUAGUCGAUGGGAAACAGGUUAAUAUUCCUGUACUUGGUGUUACUGCGAAGGGGGGACGGAGAAGGCUAUGUUGGCCGGGCGACGGUUGUCCCGGUUUAAGCGUGUAGGCUGGUUUUCCAGGCAAAUCCGGAAAAUCAAGGCUGAGGCGUGAUGACGAGGCACUACGGUGCUGAAGCAACAAAUGCCCUGCUUCCAGGAAAAGCCUCUAAGCAUCAGGUAACAUCAAAUCGUACCCCAAACCGACACAGGUGGUCAGGUAGAGAAUACCAAGGCGCUUGAGAGAACUCGGGUGAAGGAACUAGGCAAAAUGGUGCCGUAACUUCGGGAGAAGGCACGCUGAUAUGUAGGUGAAGUCCCUUGCGGAUGGAGCUGAAAUCAGUCGAAGAUACCAGCUGGCUGCAACUGUUUAUUAAAAACACAGCACUGUGCAAACACGAAAGUGGACGUAUACGGUGUGACGCCUGCCCGGUGCCGGAAGGUUAAUUGAUGGGGUCAGCGCAAGCGAAGCUCUUGAUCGAAGCCCCGGUAAACGGCGGCCGUAACUAUAACGGUCCUAAGGUAGCGAAAUUCCUUGUCGGGUAAGUUCCGACCUGCACGAAUGGCGUAAUGAUGGCCAGGCUGUCUCCACCCGAGACUCAGUGAAAUUGAACUCGCUGUGAAGAUGCAGUGUACCCGCGGCAAGACGGAAAGACCCCGUGAACCUUUACUAUAGCUUGACACUGAACAUUGAGCCUUGAUGUGUAGGAUAGGUGGGAGGCUUAGAAGUGUGGACGCCAGUCUGCAUGGAGCCGACCUUGAAAUACCACCCUUUAAUGUUUGAUGUUCUAACGUUGACCCGUAAUCCGGGUUGCGGACAGUGUCUGGUGGGUAGUUUGACUGGGGCGGUCUCCUCCUAAAGAGUAACGGAGGAGCACGAAGGUUGGCUAAUCCUGGUCGGACAUCAGGAGGUUAGUGCAAUGGCAUAAGCCAGCUUGACUGCGAGCGUGACGGCGCGAGCAGGUGCGAAAGCAGGUCAUAGUGAUCCGGUGGUUCUGAAUGGAAGGGCCAUCGCUCAACGGAUAAAAGGUACUCCGGGGAUAACAGGCUGAUACCGCCCAAGAGUUCAUAUCGACGGCGGUGUUUGGCACCUCGAUGUCGGCUCAUCACAUCCUGGGGCUGAAGUAGGUCCCAAGGGUAUGGCUGUUCGCCAUUUAAAGUGGUACGCGAGCUGGGUUUAGAACGUCGUGAGACAGUUCGGUCCCUAUCUGCCGUGGGCGCUGGAGAACUGAGGGGGGCUGCUCCUAGUACGAGAGGACCGGAGUGGACGCAUCACUGGUGUUCGGGUUGUCAUGCCAAUGGCACUGCCCGGUAGCUAAAUGCGGAAGAGAUAAGUGCUGAAAGCAUCUAAGCACGAAACUUGCCCCGAGAUGAGUUCUCCCUGACUCCUUGAGAGUCCUGAAGGAACGUUGAAGACGACGACGUUGAUAGGCCGGGUGUGUAAGCGCAGCGAUGCGUUGAGCUAACCGGUACUAAUGAACCGUGAGGCUUAACCUUACAACGCCGAAGGUGUUU
rnacentral:rRNA from 1 species